CGGUCUGUCGCGUCUGCUGUGAAAUUCCGAGGCUCAACCUCGGGCUUGCAGUGGGUACGGGCAGACUAGAGUGCGGUAGGGGAGAUUGGAAUUCCUGGUGUAGCGGUGGAAUGCGCAGAUAUCAGGAGGAACACCGAUGGCGAAGGCAGAUCUCUGGGCCGUUACUGACGCUGAGGAGCGAAAGGGUGGGGAGCAAACAGGCUUAGAUACCCUGGUAGUCCACCCCGUAAACGUUGGGAACUAGUUGUGGGGUCCUUUCCACGGAUUCCGUGACGUAGCUAACGCAUUAAGUUCCCCGCCUGGGGAGUACGGCCGCAAGGCUAAAACUCAAAGGAAUUGACGGGGACCCGCACAAGCGGCGGAGCAUGCGGAUUAAUUCGAUGCAACGCGAAGAACCUUACCAAGGCUUGACAUACACCAGAACGGGCCAGAAAUGGUCAACUCUUUGGACACUGGUGAACAGGUGGUGCAUGGUUGUCGUCAGCUCGUGUCGUGAGAUGUUGGGUUAAGUCCCGCAACGAGCGCAACCCUCGUUCUAUGUUGCCAGCACGUUAUGGUGGGAACUCAUGGGAUACUGCCGGGGUCAACUCGGAGGAAGGUGGGGAUGACGUCAAAUCAUCAUGCCCCUUAUGUCUUGGGCUUCACGCAUGCUACAAUGGCCGGUACAAUGGGCUGCGAUACCGCGAGGUGGAGCGAAUCCCAAAAAGCCGGUCCCAGUUCGGAUUGAGGUCUGCAACUCGACCUCAUGAAGUCGGAGUCGCUAGUAAUCGCAGAUCAGCAACGCUGCGGUGAAUACGUUCCCGGGUCUUGUACACACCGCCCGUCAAGUCAUGAAAGUC
rnacentral:rRNA from 1 species